ACUCCUACGGGAGGCAGCAGUGGGGAAUAUUGCACAAUGGGCGCAAGCCUGAUGCAGCCAUGCCGCGUGUGUGAAGAAGGCCUUCGGGUUGUAAAGCACUUUCAGUCGUGAGGAAGGUGAGUGUUAAGUUAAUAGCUGCAUUAUUUUGACGUUAGCGACAGAAGAAGCACCGGCUAACUCCGUGCCAGCAGCCGCGGUAAUACGGAGGGUGCGAGCGUUAAUCGGAAUUACUGGGCGUAAAGCGCAUGCAGGUGGCUUUGUUAAGUCAGAUGUGAAAGCCCGGGGCUCAACCUCGGAAUUGCAUUGAACUUGGACAG
rnacentral:rRNA from 1 species